UAACGUCUUGACAAGGGAUAGAGGCCUCUUGUUGACUUCCAGGGCGUGUGGCAUUGGCGAAACCAUUUAGUGUCAUCAAGCCGCUGUAGUCACAUCUUGACCUGUGCUACGUGUACAUGAAUGAUGGCCAGAAGAUUCUAAGGAUUAAGGAAGGCGACGCUUCCUGGACUCUAGUAACGAUUUGGUCUGUACCGGUCGUUUCGUUUGCAGUUCAGGAUGAUGGUACACUCGUGUUUUGCGAACAGGAGGGAUCCAUAGCUACCUUUAAUCCAACCACAGGGAUAUUUUUGCAGCUGAAAUUGCCAACUAUUAAUGCUGAUUUCUGUGAAGAUAUUGCACUGCGCCAUUGUGAUGGCAGGAUCUACGUUGCAUUCAGGGAAGAACAACAUAUUGAGGUUUACGACGAAUCUACUUUGAUUCAAGACUUGCAAUACACUCUGAAUAACGCAACAUCAUGUCCAUCUCUUCUGCUGGACCCUCGAAGAUGCUGAGCCUUAUUCGAGGAAGAUCGGGAUGGGAGACCGCGUUAUCAAUUGACUAUGUAACCAUGUCUACAUGUAUCCAGAUAGCAAUAAAAGCUGCUUGCACUAAC